rnacentral:rRNA from 1 species
UGGGGAAUUUUGGACAAUGGGCGCAAGCCUGAUCCAGCCAUGCCGCGUGCAGGAUGAAGGCCUUCGGGUUGUAAACUGCUUUUGUACGGAACGAAAAAACUCUGGCUAAUACCAUGGGGUCCAUGACGGUACCGUAAGAAUAAGCACCGGCUAACUACG